AAACCUAUGUUGGAUAUUUUAAUGGCUAUAUUUGCUAUCAGCACUGUUGUAUUUUUUUCUCAUCUUCGGCUGAAAAGCAGGGGAGAAUGUAAGGCUUGAGUAGCAAAUUCUUGCAAAUAAGCUGCCCAACCCCUUGUUCUUUUGCACUUAAUACAGAAUGGUAGAGCAGUGUUAUGCUUUCAAUUAAGUUUACAUGGCCAAAGUGGUGCUCUGAGUGAAUGGUUGGCUAUAUGGGGUGGAUCUGUCUCUGAAGAAUUUGUGCAUGGAGGAGACCCCAAAAUCCAUGCUUGAUUCUGUAUUGGAACCGACUAUGGCUUCCCUAAAGAAAAUGUAUGCACACUCGUGUGUCUGCUUUAGGGACACUAGGCUGAAGGCACGACAGAUUCUGAAGGGGGCACAUGGAACGAAAAUCCUGGAAUCAGCUAUUGUUCAUUGAUUAAAAAUGCUGAGGGGAUGAACUGGAAAUAAAAGAGUAAAUGCUAAAUA